UUCUCCAAACAGUUGGAACAUUUGCCCACUGCCCCUUGUCUGUAUUUGUUGUGGACAUCGUGGAGGAGCAUGACAGGGACUAUCUCUGACUGAUCUUUGCAGCCUUCGUGCACCAACUGGUGGCCUGCACACUCUGGGUGCUCCAUAUACUUGGUGGUGGGAUGCCAAGGAUCCAGCCCAGGGUGGAAAUCUCCACCAGCGCUGGAGUGCACGUUCUGUUCCAGCCACCGCUCCAGCUCCUACGUGCAUGGACUGAUUUCACCCCACAACAGUCCUGUGAGGCAGGUUGCAUGGAGCUAAGAGACAACUGCCUUUUAUACAACAUCUUCCGCUGGGAAUCGGCCCGGCCCAGCACAAAAUUAGCUGGUGUCUUACGGCUCCUGGAUUACGCAGGCAGAGAUUUUGAUUGAAUCUGGCAACCAGA